UCCAUACGCUAUAUGGGGCAAAAUAAUUACAUUUUAGCAGAACUCAAACUGCUUAAGUUAUGGGGUAUUCGAAGAAACUAUUAUGUCGCAUAUAUAGUUCCACUUGUUUACAUUUUAAUUCCUAUAUAUUCGGUAACAAUUAAUUAUCCUCAAAACAAUAUUGGACUUACAAUCUAAUUAUUGUUUUGUUGAUAGCAAGUGGAUGCAGAAUAUUGUGGUGAACAAAUUUGAGCGGAGCUGUCAUCAUUGCGACUGUUGACAGCUUUUG
rnacentral:ncRNA from 1 species